GGAGAGAUGCCGGAGUGGUCGAACGGGCCGGUCUCGAAAACCGGAGUGCCCUUUUGGGUACCGAGGGUUCGAAUCCCUCUCUCUCCG
rnacentral:tRNA from 1 species